CUGCGAGUUCGCGGGAGAGUAGGUUGUUGCCAGGGUUUUUAUUUUUACACUUUAAGUUUUGAUUUUAUUUUUUAUGUUAUUUGAAUAUUGGUGUUUUUAAAUGUGUUAUUUAAAUAACAUAAAAAAUAAAAUAUAUAUUGACAUGGAUUAAACAAAGAUAUAUAUUAUUUUAUGUUGCAUAAGCAAAUUGGCAAAGUAGAGAUGGAAGAUAAAAAUAUGGUCAAAGUAAUAAGAGUCUAUGGUGAAUGCCUAGGA
rnacentral:misc_RNA from 1 species